GAUGAACGCUGGCGGCGUGCCUAAUACAUGCAAGUCGAGCGAACAGACGAGGAGCUUGCUCCUCUGACGUUAGCGGCGGACGGGUGAGUAACACGUGGAUAACCUACCUAUAAGACUGGGAUAACUUCGGGAAACCGGAGCUAAUACCGGAUAAUAUAUUGAACCGCAUGGUUCAAUAGUGAAAGACGGUUUUGCUGUCACUUAUAGAUGGAUCCGCGCUGCAUUAGCUAGUUGGUAAGGUAACGGCUUACCAAGGCAACGAUGCGUAGCCGACCUGAGAGGGUGAUCGGCCACACUGGAACUGAGACACGGUACAGACUCCUACGGCAGGCAGCAGUAGGGAAGCUUCCGCAAUGGGCGAAAGCUUGACGGAGCAACGCCGCGUGAGUGAUGAAGGUCUUCGGAUCGUAAAACUCUGUUAUUAGGGAAGAACAAAUGUGUAAGUAACUAUGCACGUCUUGACGGUACCUAAUCAGAAAGCCACGGCUAACUACGUG
rnacentral:rRNA from 1 species